AAGUUAAAGUUAACACACCACGAAACUGUAUACAUUCACCAUAAUCCAGAGCUUCAUCUUCGUCGUCUCCACUCUCCAUUCGCCAUCUUCGUUGUUCCAUGAAAUGUUGCAGACGCACUCUUCCUUUACCCUCAAACCCUUAACAGACCAAUCCCCUUCACCUUUCACUUUCUUCCCAUCUCACCUCCAUCCCACACUCAUUUCCCAUCCUCCUAAACCCUCCCGUUUUCUCCUCCGCUGCUCCGCCGUUGAUUCCGAAACCCUCCCCAAAUCCGCCAUCCAAAGAAUCGCCGACAAGCUUCGCAGUCUUGGCUUCACAGAGCAACCCCCCGAACCAGUGUCCAACCCUAAUUCACCCUCUACUCCUGGAGAAAUCUUUGUUCCUCUGCCGAAUCAGCUGCCCAAGCACCGGGUUGGGCACACGAUUGAUUCGAGCUGGAGUACACCUGAGAAUCCGAUUCCGGAACCAGGAACGGGGACUGCGAUUAAGAGGUUUCAUGAAUUGAGAGGUGAGGUGGAGAAGAGGAAGGAGGAUGUGGUGAGGCAGAAGAAGAGGGAGGAGAGAGCACCGACUCUGGCGGAGUUGAGCUUGCCUGAGGAGGAGUUGAGGAGACUUGGGGAAAUUGGGAUUAGGUUGAAGAAGAAGGUUAAGGUUGGGAAGGCUGGGAUUACGGAGGGGAUUGUUAACACCAUACACGAGCAAUGGAGGCGGUCUGAGGUUGUGAAGAUAGUGUGUGAAGAUUUGUGUAGGUUGAACAUGAAGCGGACCCAUGAUUUAUUGGAGAGAAAAACUGGAGGAAUUGUUGUUUGGAGAUCUGGAAGUAAAAUAAUAUUAUAUCGGGGACCCAAUUAUAUAUAUCCUUACUUCUCACAUGAAAUUUUGAAAAAUGAAUCAUCUCAAGGUGCUUUACCUUUAUAUAAUGAUGAUGGAGGGAAUAGUGAAACAGAGAGCAUUUCGUCCUGCAUCAAUAAUGAAAAAUCUGCUGGACCAACCUCAUCUGAUAAAAUGCCCGGUCCGACUCUAAUUCAAGGUGUUGGUGCUCCAAACAGAGUGAGAUUUCAACUGCCAGGUGAGGCAGAACUUGCAGAAGAUGCUGAGAGUUUGUUAGAAGGACUAGGUCCACGUUUUUCAGAUUGGUGGGGAUAUGAUCCUCUACCUGUUGAUGCGGAUCUCCUUCCUGCCAUUGUUCCUGGAUACCGUAAGCCUUUCCGUCUUCUCCCAUAUGGAGUGAAGCCUAAGCUAACUAAUGAUGAAAUGACCUCAUUAAGAAGACUUUCUAGGCCUUUGCCAUGCCAUUUUGCAUUGGGUCGUAAUAGGAACCUUCAAGGGCUUGCUGCUGCCAUUAUCCAGCUGUGGGAAAAAUGUGAGAUAGCUAAAAUUGCAGUUAAAAGAGGGGUGCAGAAUACAAAUAGUGAGUUGAUGGCUGAAGAGUUACAGUUGCUAACUGGAGGAACAUUGCUUUCCCGAGACAGGGAAUUCAUCGUCUUAUAUAGAGGAAAGGAUUUCCUGCCAUUUGCCGUUUCUUCUGCAAUAGAACAGCAAAGGUACAUUCGGUUACAUAAAAUGAAACAGAUGGAUAAUGCACCAGCUACAACGGUGCAGGAGCAAAAACUUGGGAUAAAUGAAAAUGGUCCCACAAAUGAAAGUCAGAGCAUCACGGAGUGGAAAAAGAUUAACUCUGAACAGAGAAAGCUGAUGUCAUCUGAGACAUCUAUGAGAAAGACUAGCAUCAAAUUGUCCAUUGCAUUAGAAAAAAAAGCAAAAGCAGAGGAACUUUUAGCGAAGCUGGAGGAAGCAGAGAUGCUCCAACAACCCGAAAUAGAUAAAGAGGGAAUCACUGUGGAGGAAAGGUAUAUGCUGAAGAAGAUCGGCUUGAGAAUGAAGCCUUUUCUACUUCUUGGUAGAAGGGGUGUUUUUGAUGGAACAGUUGAAAAUAUGCAUCUUCAUUGGAAGUAUAGGGAACUUGUAAAGAUAAUUACUAAUGAGAGAAGUUUCAAAACCGUUCAUGAUAUUGCACAAACCUUAGAGACAGAAAGUGGUGGAAUUUUAGUAGCAGUUGAGAGAGUGAACAGGAGUUAUGCUAUCAUCAUAUACCGGGGGAAGAAUUACAAACGGCCUGCACGUUUAAGGCCUGAGUCACUCUUGAAUAAAAAAGAGGCAUUGAAGCGAUCUAUUGAGGCACAACGUCGAAAGUCAUUGAAACUUCAUGUUUUAAAGCUUACACAAAAUGUAGAAGAAUUGAAACUUAAAUUGGAUAAAGACAAGGGAGCAAUUGCUAUGGAGUCAAUAAAGAAAUCAACGUCUCAGCAGGGAAAAGAAGGGAUAAACGAGAUGCAAACAACUGGAAGUUUGAAUGAUCCUGCCUGCCUCUCUCAUGCAGAAGAUAAUGCUUGUUUGGAGGAGAAUGAAGUGGUCAUGGUCAAUGGGGGUCAUGGGACUCAUGUGAGUGGAACUUUCUGUUUGGACACUUCAGCAAACAGUUUACAAGCCACUCAACGGGAUAAUGAUGUCUUUUCAAUAUAUGACGUUGACCAGAGUAAUGCCGAACUCAGAUCUUCAUUUGAAUCAGUUAGGCAAGGAAAACCUGCAAAGGUGUCCAUGGAUACCAAUGCUGAAUUUGGAAGUAUUGAACCUCUAUCUGGCGCUAAUUGUUUGAUGCUAGAAUUCCAGUCAGGAGAAAGUAGUUCUGAAACUUCAGAUGCCGUGCAUGAUGUUGCAUUGAAUGAGGAGAUGAAGCCAUCUGUUAGAUUAGAAGAGGGGAAUUCAUCACUAUUACUUUCCUCAAUGAGGACAAACCAACCUGGUCAUUUUCCUGCUAGCGCUCCUCAACUUUCCAACAAAGAGAGGCUUCUUCUGCGACGGCAAGCCCUCGAGAUGAAAAAACGUCCUGUGCUUGCUGUAGGCAAGAGCAACAUAAUUACAGGAGUUGCAAAAGCAAUCAAGGAACAUUUUAAGAAACAUUCUCUUGCUAUAGUUAAUGUCAAAGGCAGAGCCAAAGGAACAUCAGUCCAGGAGAUUGUUUUUAAGCUUGAGCAAGCAACUGGUGCAGUUCUAGUCUCUCAGGAGCCGAGCAAAGUUAUUCUUUACAGGGGUUGGGAGGAAGAAGAUAAAUCCCAAGAUGGCAAACAGAAUGCUACCAAGAUGGAAAACAAGGGUGAAGCUCAACUAUCUACGUGUCCUGAACUCUUGGCAGCUAUAAGGGUUGAAUGUGGACUGCGGUGAACUGAAAGUAAAAUCAGCUCCUCCAUGUGAAUUCUAGCUUCAGUCUCAGCUUGUAGGUAAGAUUUAACCAUAGAGUGUUAAAUUUUCUUUGGUUGACAUAUCAAAGCUGUUACUUGAAGAAUUUCUGACUGUUCGAUCUCAACCUCCAGAAAUCAACUGGCAUUUAUUUGGCCCGAGGUUCAUGGUAACAGUCGUUCGUAAUAGUGCAAGUAAUUUCUUCCUCCUCCCUUCCUCCUUUUUUUCGAGACGAAUGACGUGGGACGAUCCGACGAUAGGGCGAGUACGGAAUGACAAAAAUGACAAUGGCAGACUCAAUGAUGGAUUCAGAGCAAAUGAAUGGCAACGGCGUGCUUGGAACAAAUGCACGACAAUAGUAGACUUAGAAUAAAUGAACGGCGAGGAUGGACUCGAAAUAGAUGUACGGCGGGCCUGAUUCAACUUUUAGUUUUUUUUUUUCCUAUUAUAUAUACUCUGUGAUAUACAUGUACUUUUUUUAGUCUCGAUAGAAAAUUAAUAUAUACUGUGGUAUGUGUUUUUGUUUAUUUGACCUAAA